rnacentral:rRNA from 1 species
UGGGGAAUAUUGGACAAUGGAGGAAACUCUGAUCCAGCAAUUCCGUGUGUGUGAAGAAGGUUUUAGGACUGUAAAACACUUUUAGUAGGGAAGAAAAAAAUGACGGUACCUACAGAAGAAGCAACGGCUAAAUACGUGCCAGCAGCCGCGGUAAUACGUAUGUUGCGAGCGUUAUCCGGAAUUAUUGGGCUUAAAGGGCAUCUAGGCGGUAAGACAAGUUGAAGGUGAAAACCUGUGGCUCAACCAUAGGCUUGCCUACAAAACUGUUGAACUAGAGUACUGGAAAGGUGGGUGGAACUACACGAGUAGAGGUGAAAUUCGUAGAUAUGUGUAGGAAUGCCGAUGAUGAAGAUAACUCACUGGACAGAAACUGACGCUGAAGUGCGAAAGCUAGGGGGGCAAACAGG